AUUCCUGUACUUGGUGUUACUGCGAAGGGGGGACGGAGAAGGCUAUGUUAGCCGGGCGACGGUUGUCCCGGUUUAAGCAUGUAGGCUGGUUAUCCAGGCAAAUCCGGAUAAUCAAGGCUGAGGUGUGAUGACGAAGCACUACGGUGCUGAAGUAACAAAUGCCCUGCUUCCAGGAAAAGCCUCUAAGCAUCAGGUAACAUCAAAUCGUACCCCAAACCGACACAGGUGGUCAGGUAGAGAAUACCAAGGCGCUUGAGAGAACUCGGGUG
rnacentral:rRNA from 1 species